GAGAGGAAGAGAAAACAAAGGAUCAAGAAGAAAAAGGAAACCCUAGAACUAAAAAAGAGAGAGAUUAGUAGGUCAAAAGGUAGAAGGAGGGUCAAGGUGGGGUUUUUAAAUGGGGGAGGGUGGAUCAGCUGUACAAGAGAACAGAGUAAGAAGGAGAAGAAGAGGGGGUGGGUGGGGUAAAAAGGUGAAGAAGCUGGGUCAUCAUCAUACAAAGAAGAGCACGACAAGUUAAAAAAGUGAGAAAAAAAUAAUAAUAACUGAGGCUAAUAAGCAUUCAUGGCGGAUCCUAAGAAGUGGAACAGUAAAAGAAAGGAAAUUGGAUUUGAUUUUGAAGAAUUGUGAUUGGAAUUGGUGAGAAAUGAUGGAGAGAGAGAAAAACAGAGCAUAACAUAACAGUAGAAAUAGAAGGAGAAGGAGCAAGUGACUCAAUCAUCAUCGUUUUUAAUUGCACUGUGAAAAACAAAUGGAUUUCUCUCCUUAACGGCU
rnacentral:lncRNA from 1 species